ensembl:lncRNA
AGCUGAUGAAACUGGGUGAAGAGAAUAAGAGGAGAAGAGAAAGAGGGACACACCAGUUGCUGUUAUUCCAGGCCUACGUACAAUAUUUAGACAAACCGAGGCUUCUUCCUUAGCUUGGAGACUUCAUACCCAGGGUCAUGCCUGUGAACCUAUCCACUCUGACUGUUUGCCUGCUAGGCACAGCACCAUCUGUAAGCCCAGAGGAUACUCCUGCCACCGUCGCAGCUUCCACCACUGGUACUAACACCUCUGCUCCAGGGACUGACCCCACAUCUAACCCCACAGAGGCCAAGAGCACCAUGGUCUCCACAUCCGACCAGGCAAAUGAAGAAGCCACAGAGACAAUAUUGUCAACUGGCGAGAUAGCCGGCAUUGCUGUCGGAAGCAUUGCUGGAGUGGCGGCUAUUGGUGAGUGUAAUACGCACACCGACACAUGCACGCACACACAUUCUCCGGCACCGCAAUUACCCUGGGUCUUAUCUAUUCAUUAACAGAACAGAGGAAGGGCAAACCCAAUAUUGAACCAUGAAAGUGAUACCAUACUGGUAUCAUCAUGGUUUCAUGCUGUUCCUGUGUAACCAAAUGAAUGUAAAUGCUUCUAUUAUGGCAGCCCCAAAUACCAAAUCAGAGGACAAAGGAAGUAAACAGACUAUACUGAGGGCAGGGUCUGGUUUAUUAAGGCUAACUCUAGUAGUUGUGGUCAUAACAGGAUUCAAACAGAAUGCAAGAUGACCUACAAAACAUGCAUAUGUCAAUGAGAAUGCCUGCUCCAGGCUACUCCUGCAACAGCAAUUUGUUUGUCAGCGCAAUUUAAAAAAAAUAUGAUUUGAAAACCAAAAUUAACGUUUCUUAAUGGAGAAGUCCAAGUAAUUAUUUUUUUGUCUGUUGUCUUCCAUUUGGUUCUUCAUUAACAUGGCCUGGAUGUAGGCAUAUCAGGGUUAUAACAGCCUCCCUUCUAAGCCUGAGCCUAACUAAAUAUUUAACACCUCUAUGUGAAGUGAACCCUCAGUUUCAUGUAAUGUGUACAGUAGUGUGGAAAUUUAACAUUUGUGAUAGCCUUCCUUAAUGACAUUGACUUACAACUUUCUUUCCAAAAAAUAAAACCGAACUUUCUAAUAUAAUGAUAUAAUAUCUAUCUUUCUCUCUUUCACUAUCCCUCCCCCUCUCCCCUCUCCCCUCUAGGUGGAGGGAUCUUUGCUGGUCUGAAGUUUAGUGGUAAGCUGGCAGGUUAGUGUUGCUAGACUGGACUGGACAGUGCUGGGUAAAGAUAAGCUGAGUGGGUUGGUAAGGGGAGAUUCGAUUGGCCUGAGACCAGUCCAAGACUCUACAUACUGCACAACCACUGUGGGAAAAAACAGAGCCCUCUCACCUUCCUCUAUCUGAAACCACUGCCAACCAACACAUUGAGACCUUAAUUUACAACUAUACAGGAAUACAGAUUGCAUUACUAUGAGCCACAAUCUGGAAUUGUAUACUGUGGUCAGUCGAGAUAAUAUACUACUUCUACUGCUAUAUAAGCAUAUGCAUACUGUAUAUCACAUGUUAUCCAUGGCCACAAUGUAGCAUUCAGCUGUUGAUGCAUAUGCUUUUCCUAUCUAGUGAGAGCAUACAGUAUAUGGGGAAAAAGGAGAACAGUGACUGAAAAAGACAAAUGAUAAUACGAAAUAACAUGAUAGCUACAGUAUAUAUUUAAUAUAUGGUAGCAAAUAUAUUUUAAUAUUAUGGUUCACCGCACAUCUUGUGGUGACAGCUUAACCGUGCUUUGAACCUUCUGCUAAGUGUAUUUUUAAACAUUUUAAGAUGAUCAAUGAUUUUUGUUGAUUGAUUUAAUUAUUUUAUUUUUUGUCAUUAAACAUUUUAAGAUGAGAAUGAAUGAUCACAUGGGAUUUUGAAUGUUAUUUCCUCAAAAAUUAUUAUGCACACACUUUAUUUCACAACAAAAUACCAUGAUAAUUAUGGUAUUAUGGUCACAAUGUAAACACCUCAUUUUGUAAUAAAGACCAAGAGUAGUUGUGUGACUUUGUUGUGUUUUAUUUGUGGCAGCCAUCUUGUGAAGGUGCCAUUUGAGGGAUGUGUACCCUCUCCCCUCCCAGCUCUGAUGGUGUGCUCUCUGUCUGCAUGCUUUCAUUAUGUCUCAGCACU